GGGGGUGUAGCUCAGUUGAUAGAGUGCUUGUCUGGCAUAUAUGAAGCCCUGUGUUCGAUCCCCAGCACUGCAU
rnacentral:tRNA from 1 species